rnacentral:rRNA from 1 species
GACGAACGCUGGCGGCGUGCUUAACACAUGCAAGUCGAACGGAAAGGCCCUGCUUGCAGGGUACUCGAGUGGCGAACGGGUGAGUAACACGUGGGUGAUCUGCCCUGCACUUCGGGAUAAGCCUGGGAAACUGGGUCUAAUACCGGAUAGGAGCCAUUUUUAGUGUGAUGGUUGGAAAGUUUUUUCGGUGUAGGAUGAGCUCGCGGCCUAUCAGCUUGUUGGUGGGGUAAUGGCCUACCAAGGCGGCGACGGGUAGCCGGCCUGAGAGGGUGGACGGCCACAUUGGGACUGAGAUACGGCCCAGACUCCUACGGGAGGCAGCAGUGGGGAAUAUUGCACAAUGGGCGCAAGCCUGAUGCAGCGACGCCGCGUGGGGGAUGACGGCCUCCGGGUUGUAAACUCCUUUCGCUAGGGACGAAGCUUUUUGUGACGGUACCUAGAUAAGAAGCACCGGCUAACUACGUG